rnacentral:misc_RNA from 1 species
GCGUACGAAGGAGAGGAGAGGUAGAGGAGAGUACGC